AACAUUAAAAGGAACGUUCCAGGAAUACCCGGGUAGUUCCAAAUUCACUUUGCUUGCUUAUCGCAGAAGGAAGUGAAGUCCAAGAAAACGCUACAUAUAUCUACGUGCAGGCUCCUGUCGAUAGCGGAAGUUAUCUAACCAGCGAAAAAAGUGGAACCGUUUGAAGGGAGUUAUGGCACAGGUUUCAGAAAACGAUGAUAGCAAGCUUCUGCCUGGAUGAUUUUAAAUGGCGACUUGAUACACUCCCCAAAUCAAAUUGCGCAUAUUCUUGCACGUGUUAGUUAGUGGAGUUUCCUAAAACAUAAUAUUUUUGUGCGCCUUAAAAAAUCUUGUUAUGUAUAGGUGAGCGAAAGCCGGUACUUCUAUAGAUAUAUUCAGUACAAGUACUCCGGUCGGCCAAGCACAGUAAGGUCAGCCGUCGGCGAAGCGAAACGAUACAAUCAUUGAUGACGAUGCAAUCAAUCGAUGAUCCUGGAUCAUCAACGAUCCUGCUGUUAAUAAUCGAGAAAAAUUAAAAAAAUUGUGAAGCUAGUGAUAAUGAUAACGUGUAUCGUAUUGUAUUUUGUGUCAACUUGUGUAUGAUACUCUGUUGCGGGACAUAUUCCGAUUUCUCAAUACAUACU